AUUGAACGCUGGCGGCAGGCUUAACACAUGCAAGUCGAACGGUAACAGGAAGAAACUUGUUUCUUUGCUGACGAGUGGCGGACGGGUGAGUAAUGCUUGGGAAUCUGCCUUAUGGAGGGGGAUAACUAUGGGAAACUGUAGCUAAUACCGCGUAAUAUCUUCGGAUUAAAGUAUGGGAUCUUCGGACCAUAUGCCAUAGGAUGAGCCCAAGUGAGAUUAGGUAGUUGGUGGGGUAAAGGCCUACCAAGCUUACGAUCUCUAGCUGGUUUGAGAGGAUGACCAGCCACACUGGGACUGAGACACGGCCCAGACUCCUACGGGAGGCAGCAGUGGGGAAUAUUGCACAAUGGGGGAAACCCUGAUGCAGCCAUGCCGCGUGAAUGAAGAAGGCCUUAGGGUUGUAAAGUUCUUUCAUUAGUGAGAAAGGAGUUGUUUCUAAUAGGGGCAACUAUUGAUGUUAGCUAAAGAAGAAGCACCGGCUAACUCCGUGCCAGCAGCCGCGGUAAUACGGAGGGUGCGAGCGUUAAUCGGAAUGACUGGGCGUAAAGGGCACGCAGGCGGUUAUUUAAGUCAGAUGUGAAAGCCCCGAGCUUAACUUGGGAAUUGCAUUUGAUACUGGGUAACUAGAGUCCUCUAGGGAGGGGUAGAAUUCCAUGUGUAGCGGUGAAAUGCGUAGAGAUGUGGAGGAAUACCGAAGGCGAAGGCAGCCCCUUGGAGAGAGACUGACGCUCAUGUGCGAAAGCGUGGGUAGCAAACAGG
rnacentral:rRNA from 1 species